rnacentral:rRNA from 1 species
UGAGGAAUAUUGCGCAAUGGACGAAAGUCUGACGCAGCAACGCCGCGUGGGCGAAGAAGGCCUUCGGGUUGUAAAGCCCUUUUCUGAGGGACGAGAGAGGACGGUACCUCAGGAAUAAGUCUCGGCUAACUACGUGCCAGCAGCCGCGGUAAAACGUAGGAGGCGAGCGUUAUCCGGAUUUAUUGGGCGUAAAGCGCGUGCAGGUGGUAUCGUAAGUCGGAUGUGAAAGCCUCUGGCUUAACUGGAGGAUGUCGUUCGAUACUGCGGAACUUGAGGUCGGGAGAGGGAAGCGGAAUUCCCGGUGUAGUGGUGGAAUGCGUAGAUAUCGGGAGGAACACCAGUGGCGAAGGCGGCUUCCUGGCCCGCACCUGACACUAAGACGCGAAAGCGUGGGGAGCGAACGG